UACGUAGGGUGCGAGCGUUAAUCGGAAUUACUGGGCGUAAAGCGUGCGCAGGCGGUUCGUUGUGUCCGUCGUGAAAGCCCCGGGCUUAACCUGGGAACUGCGAUGGAAACUAGCGAGCUGGAGUGUGGCAGAGGGGGGUGGAAUUCCGCGUGUAGCAGUGAAAUGCGUAGAGAUGCGGAGGAACACCGAUGGCGAAGGCAGCCCCCUGGGCUAACACUGACGCUCAGGCACGAAAGCUAGGGGAGCAAACAGG
rnacentral:rRNA from 1 species